CUCCGGAUUUCCCUCAGUACCUAGUGGCAGGAGCUCCCUAAGCAUUAGUUCCUGCUGGCAAGUGUAUGGCCUCACACUGUACAGUUUGUCAGAGAUAAGGCAGGAUGUAAAAAGCCCAGGCGCCUAAUGCUGCUCAUGGCUCCUCCUUUUUAGCAUGUAGCUCACUCACUUAGUUCAGGGAGAAAAUGCUGUUCCUCGGCUGCACCUCCCCCAAAGGAGCAGCUCUGGUGGUUUCUCUUUAAUUCAUGCAUCCUGGUGGAAGCCUGGCUCCCGAUGGCUCAGCACAGGGCCUUCCACCCAUAGAACGCAGACAGAAGUGGCUCUGUUUCGGGCUCCACCGCGGGAGGAGGAGUUUUCAUUCAGACUUUCGGAGGAGGUGGAGAUACCGAGAGCCUCACCAGAAAAGGUCCCCGGAGCCAGCCGGGGAUUCAGUCCUUUUCCUGCUCCUGCAUCGCCAUGGACCUGCCUUCCUCUCCCAUGAGAAUUUGGAAGCAGAGGCUGGAGGACCACCUGCUGAGAGAGGAGGGCCUUGUGCCAAGGAGUAGAUGAACUAGGUGACCACCUUGCAAUUCUCGAUGGGUGCCGUGGUUGGGGUUGUGAAAGCUCGCAUCUCAGUGGGAAGGCCUAGGCAGGAAGAUGGAGAUGGAGUGGAAAGUGGCAACACAUGGAUGGGAAAAGCAUGUUGAGAAGUGAUCAGAACUGGGCAAAGGGGAAAAGCAGAGGAUGGAAACAAGGGGCUUAAUGAAUACAGUUCCCUACCUCUUCUUCUAUUGAGUUUUCAUUCUUUGGUGUAUAGAGGCAACUGAUCCUGCUCAUGCCUCAUGCCCCUUCUUACUCUUCGGUGAUGGUCUUGCCUAUGUGAUCUCAUUCUAUCUAUCACUCUCUCUCUCUCUCUCUCUCUCUCUCUCUCUCUCAAUGGCUAAG
rnacentral:lncRNA from 1 species